ensembl:lncRNA
AUGUAUGUGGAUGUUAUUAGACACUUCCUGUUUCUCAUUUCUCGCCAUAAUUUCAAUGCCUCGCCACAAGCAAACCAUUCGAGAUAUCAAAAGGAGGCUGCAGAGGCUGAGACCCGGGCGUGGCACAGGGGCUCUACGGCGCCCCCUGGAACACAGUCAGAAAUGUUGAUGCAUAGUUCAAACAUACUUGCACGUAUUCAUAUGAAACUCAGUACACAUAUAGAUCUCAUUGUGCCGAACAACUUUCAUAUUGCAUGUCAUAGGCUCCGCCCAACAGGAAGUCAGCUAUUUAGUGCUAUGUAAAAAGCGCAUGCUCUGGAAUUUGAUAUACUUGUCAUAGGUUUUUUACCCGAUUGCCACCAAACUUGGUCAACAUGAUCUCAAGACAUUGGGGAUGCAAAAUUGCCAGGGGAUUUUUUUGAUAUCUCGAAUGGUUUGCUUGUGGCGAGGCGUUGAAAUUAUGGCGAGAAAUGAGAAACAGGAAGUGUCUAAUAACAUCCACAUACAUUUCCUGAUUUUAAUUAAACUUCAUCAAUUUGUUCGUUGUAUGAUGCCGAUCGCAUAUAUGUGACUAUUAGGAGUCAAAAUUAUAGCGCCACCAACUGGCAGCAGGAAGUGUGUCAUUUUCAAAAAUGCUUUGAAUUCAGCAUCUUAUUUUUUUACUCAAUUUGCUUCAAACUUCAUCAGAAUAAUGACAAAAACACGGCCCAUAUAAAACUGUUGAGGGGAUAUUGAUAUCUAAUAUAGUGUUGCCAUGGCAACAUAUCAAACUGGAAUAUUUUUUUCUGUAUAAUAUAUUCUGAUUUUUGAGGCAGAUAACAUGCUUAGAAUUUCAUGAAACUCAGAACACAUAUCAGUAUUAAUGAUAGCUAGACACUGGCAAAAGGUCAUAAAAGGGCGUGGAGGAGGCACUCUAUAGCGCCACCUUUUGUCAAAAGUGGGGGGCUUAGUUUUAGCUACAGACACCAAACUCGGUACAUGUAUUGUUCUUAUUAAGACGGACAACUUUCUAAUUUACAGUCAUUAGCUACGACCAACAGGAAGUCGGCUAUUUUUGAUUUGAAUAUGGAUUUUUUUGGCUCUGUGUGAGGAAUGUAUGUGUGCUGAGACUUUCAUUGUCUGAGAGAAAAUGCGCCUCUACAGGAGCAAUUCCCGGGACUGAGAGGGAGGAGUCUCGCUUAGUUUCACUUUUAAAUCGGUUAAAAAUACAACUAAAUAAAUCAAUUUAAUUCACACUGACAAGCUAAACCAACAUAUCUUAUUAUUAGCGGGUCAGGGCUUAUUAAUAAUUGAUGUCUGGCGACAGAGAACAGAGAGAUAGACGAGAGAUAUGUCACCGCUCCGAACAGCGCGUGCUGUCUCAACGAGCUCACAACAAACGAGUUUAUUCUUGUUUAAGACCUUUUAAAAAUAAAAUAUUACGGCGAUUGCACACAAUCCGCCAAUUAGAACACACCAAGAGCUAAAUUCAGAUGUUUGUGAGCUGUUAACAUGUUAAAAUGAAAUAUUUGCUGCAGCCUGUCUGACAGCGCGAGACGUCUGAACACUUGAAGGGAAAAAAAGUGUACAUACAGAAACUACAGCCUUUUACAUUAAAACACAGCGGCGAAUCAACAAAAAACAAUUAGAAGAACAUAUUAUAGAGAUGAAAAUGAGUGUUUAUGAGUGCUUGUGAGAUUUUCUUUGUCUAAGGGCUGAACAUCACAUCGAUUGCUCUGCGCUCCAGAACACGGUGAUGGUUUUUCGGCGAGAACGGACAAAUAAAUACACAUUUAAUUCACACUGACAAGCUGAACCAACAUAUGUUAUUAUUACUGGCUCAGAUCUCAUUAAUAAUUGAUGUCUGGCCAGAACAGUGAGAAAGACCAGAGAGAAAUCACCGCUGCAUCAGCGCGUGCAUUCUCACCACGAGCUCACAAUAAAAGCAUUUUUAUAGUUUUAAGAGCUUUUUAAAAUAAAAUAUUACCGCGAAUGCACACAAUCCACCCAUUAGAACACAACAAGAGCUAAAUUCAGGUAUUUGUGAGCUGUUUGAUUGUGAAAAUUGAAAGACUAUUUGACAGCGCGAGACUGUCUAAGGGCAGAAUAACAUCGAUCUCUCGAGCUCCAGAGGACGCUGAUUCUGGCAAGAACGAACAAAUCAAGAACAAGGUUAUUUCAAAAUACAUAAUAGCUUGGCGAAUAUAAACGAAAACAGUCACGUGAACAUAAACAGUUGAGAAAUAAAUCUGAAGUGGAUCAUGAUACUGGAUUUGAAUAUUAAAGUGACUACAUUUACCAGCUGCUUUCUGUCUUUAAUUUUUAAUCUAUAAAAAAAACAGAAAAUCAUUCGUCUUGGCUGCUUUUUGUAUGUAUUCGUGUAUUUAUUAUUAUUAUUAUUAUUAUUAGUUUUUGCUCUAACAAGAAUUAAUCUAUAUUUAAUUAAAUUAAAUUUCUGCAUCUAAACACCUAUAAACCUAAA